CGACUUGUUGCUCCGCCUCACGCAGACCUGUGCUCGCCUUAUGGCUGAACUGUUGCUCCGAGUCCGCCUGACGAGCCACCUGUUUCUCCGGAUCUGUUUCUCCGCCUAACGGCGACCUGUUUCUCCGGACCUGUUUCUCCGGACCUGUUUCUCCGCCUAACGGCGACCUGUUUCUCCGGACCUGUUUCUCCGCCUAACGCCCGAGCUGUUGCUCCGCCUAACGCCUGACCUGUGCUCGCCUCACGCCCGACCUGUUGCUCCGCCUCACGCCCAGCCUGUUGAUCGGUGGACGGGUAAGCGCGCAUGGCAUCGGAAGGAGCUCGAAAAGUAUAAGGUGAUGACAAUGGAUAAUUGCGUGAAAAUCAAACUAAAAGAAUGCAAUCUUGAGGAGUUAAUCCCCACAUUUGAAGCACAGGAGCGAACCUUUCCUCGUUUUUAGGUCAAUUUGAAUACAAUUCAGAGGGGUGGCAUGGGGGCGCAGUGGGUAGUGCUGU